AUUGCACGCUGGCGGCAGGCCUAACACAUGCAAGUCGAACGAGUGGCGGACUGGUGAGUAAUGUCUGGGAACCUGCCCGAUGGAGGGGGAUAACUACUGGAAACGGUAGCUAAUACCGCAUACCAUCGGAUGUGCCCAGAUGGGAUUAGCUCAUAGGUGGGGUAACGGCUCACCUAGGCGACGAUCCCUCGCUGGUCUGAGAGGAUGACCAGCCACCCUGGAACUGAGACACGGUCCAGACUCGUACGGGAGGCAGCAGUGGGGAAUAUUGCACAAUGGGCGCAAGCCUGAUGCAGCCAUGCCGCGUGUAUGAAGAAGGCCUUCGGGUUGUAAAGUACUUUCAGCGAGGAGGCGUUACUCGCAGAAGAAGCACCGGCUAACUCCGUGCCAGCAGCCGCGGUAAUUC
rnacentral:rRNA from 1 species